rnacentral:rRNA from 1 species
GACAGAGGUGCCGAGCGUUAGGCGGAAUCACUGGGCUUAAAGCGUGUGUAGGCGGAUCCGUAAGUACCUUGUGAAAUCCCACGGCUCAACCGUGGAACUGCUUGGUAUACUGCGGGUCUUGAGCCACCUAGGGGCGAGCGGAACAAGUGGUGGAGCGGUGAAAUGCGUAGAUAUCACUUGGAACGCCAAUGGUGAAAACAGCUCGCUGGGGGUGUGCUGACGCUGAGACACGAAAGCCAGGGGAGCGAACGGG